rnacentral:tRNA from 1 species
GUCCCUGUAGCUUAAUAAAAAGCAUAACACUGAAGAUGUUAAGACGGUUACCACAUGAACCCAAGGACA